rnacentral:rRNA from 1 species
UACGGAGGGGGGCUAGCGUUGUUCGGAAUUACUGGGCGUAAAGCGCACGUAGGCGGCUUUGCAAGUUAGAGGUGAAAGCCCGGGGCUCAACUCCGGAAUUGCCUUUAAGACUGCAUCGCUAGAAUUGUGGAGAGGUAAGUGGAAUUCCGAGUGUAGAGGUGAAAUUCGUAGAUAUUCGGAAGAACACCAGUGGCGAAGGCGACUUACUGGACACAUAUUGACGCUGAGGUGCGAAAGCGUGGGGAGCAAACAGG